UAAAAGCUGAAAGCAUCUAAGCACGAAACUUGCCCCGAGAUGAGUUCUCCCUGAGACUUUAGGUCUCCUGAAGGAACGUUGAAGACGACGACGUUGAUAGGCCGGGUGUGUAAGCGCAGCGAUGCGUUGAGCUAACCGGUACUAAUGAACCGUGAGGCUUAACCUUACAACGCCGAAG
rnacentral:rRNA from 1 species